rnacentral:rRNA from 1 species
UACGUAGGGUGCAAGCGUUAUCCGGAAUUAUUGGGCGUAAAGAGCUCGUAGGCGGUUUGUCGCGUCUGCUGUGAAAACUGGAGGCUCAACCUCCAGCCUGCAGUGGGUACGGGCAAACUAGAGUGCGGUAGGGGAGAUUGGAAUUCCUGGUGUAGCGGUGGAGUGCGCAGAUAUCAGGAGGAACACCGAUGGCGAAGGCAGAUCUCUGGGCCGUAACUGACGCUGAGGAGCGAAAGCAUGGGGAGCGAACAGG